rnacentral:rRNA from 1 species
AUUGAACGCUGGCGGCAGGCCUAACACAUGCAAGUCGAGCGAGCGGCGGACGGGUGAGUAAUGUAUGGGGACUGCCCGAUAGAGGGGGAUAACUACUGGAAACGGUGGCUAAUACCGCAUACUAUCGGCUAACCCCUAUGGGAUUAGCUAGUAGGGGGGGUAAAGGCUCACCUAGGCGACGAUCUCUAGCUGGUCUGAGAGGAUGAUGGUCCACAAUGGGACUGAGACACGGCCCAGACUCCUACGGAUGCAGCAGUGGGGGAUAUUGCACAAUGGGCGAAAGCCUGAUGCAGCCAUGCCGAGUGUAUGAAGAAGGCCUUAGGGUUGUAAAGUACGUUCAGCGGGGAGGCGUUACCCGCAGAAGAAGCACCGGCUAACUCCGUGCCAGCAGCCGCGGUAAUUC